rnacentral:lncRNA from 1 species
GUCCAGACCAGCCAGUCAUUCAGAGAGCGGAGCUGACGCAUUUCUCUGUACUUUGCCUGCCGAGCCAUUAGGCAACUGCCUCGCUCCUCCGCACCCCACGCUUUUCUUCCACGUGGAACGUUUAAAACGAACUAGGAGUGGCCUCCUUUAGCUCCCCGCUCGUACAUCCGCCAUGUAGGCUUCCAGUACCUCCUGACGCGUGCGCAUGAAUGCAUGCGCCGCCUUUCCUGAUGUGCACUCCAGCCUUGUGCAAACAUCCGCUCCGCUGAGCGUGUUCCAUCAUGCAGCUUUGCUUGGGACGCCUCCAUGUCUGCUUCUCUUGCUUGUAUGCGCUCACCUAAACUAUAUGCCAUAAACCUUAAGUCACAGGUUUUCUUUUUUCUAUUUGGAGAUGGUUGUUUUUUCCAGGUUUUUAAAUCUAGGUUUCCAAUUAAGUAUAUCGUCAACAGCACAUGAGAUAGGUUAAUUUUAGAAUAGAAAUUGGGGUUGGGGUUUGCAAGAACGCUUAUUGUAUUUCGUUUUAGGGUGAAAUUUUUAAUUACGUAUUAAAACAUUCUAGGAAAGUCAUAGUAGAUUUGAGAUGCAGUGAAGGGCUGAAUUAAUAUCCAAAGCAAUAGAGGCUUGUCGGUUAAAUUAAAAGCCCGAACUCAAGUAGGAAGGAGAGUCUUUGCUUCUAUCAGAAUUCCCCACUUCCUCUCCUGAAACCCUCAUUUUGUUUAUUCAUUUUUCUUUUUUGGUGCAGGUACUCACUCACUCUUUAUCCCAUGCUGGUUGGGAAAUCUCUAUGAAGCUGACAGUAAUCUUCCUUUCCUGACUUAGCUUCCCAAGUACUGGAAUUGUAGGUGUGAGCCACCGCAGCCUGCUAACCCUCUUGCCUUUUAAAGCACAUCAUUUUUACUGUGACGAUGGACACUAGCGCUAUCUGUCUCUGGGCCACCAAGGACCUCUGAAGCCUUCUUGGUGACCUGGCUUAAUCUGGUGUUUUGUUUUGUUUUGCAUCCUGUGGUUUUCUAAUGGAUUUUCAGAACUUUUGCAACCUCUUAGCUAUUCAAGCUCCAUUUCUUAAAUUUUAAGAACUUAAACUGAGGGCUGGUAAGAUGGCUCAACAGUUAAAAGUGCUUGCCAGAGCCCUCACCCAGUGGCUGAAGGAAGCAGAGACAGACAUCCACAGAUAUACACUGAGCCGAAAUCGGGAAUUUAGUUGAAGAGAGGGAGGAAUGAAGAAAGAAGGGGUCUGUACCAGGUUGGAGAAACCCACAGGAACAGUUGACCUGAACAAGGGAGAGCACAUUGACCCCAGAUGCUGUCCGGGAGGCCAGUACAAGACUGAUCCAGACCCCUGAACAUGGAUGUCAAUAAGGAGGCCUCUGCACUCCAGGGAGCCUCUGGUGGUGGAUUAGUAUUUUUCCCUGGUGCAAGAAGGGACUUUGAGAGCCCAUCCCACGUGAAGGGUUACACUCUGGCCCUGGACACAUGGGGAAGGGCCCAGGACCAGCACAGGAAGACUUGGUGGACUUUGCAGAGCCCCAGUUGAGGGCCCUACCCUGCCUGGGGAAUGGUGG